GGCGGACGGGUGAGUAACACGUGGAUAACCUACCUAUAAGACUGGGAUAACUUCGGGAAACCGGAGCUAAUACCGGAUAAUAUUUUGAACCGCAUGGUUCAAAAGUGAAAGACGGUCUUGCUGUCACUUAUAGAUGGAUCCGCGCUGCAUUAGCUAGUUGGUAAGGUAACGGCUUACCAAGGCAACGAUGCAUAGCCGACCUGAGAGGGUGAUCGGCCACACUGGAACUGAGACACGGUCCAGACUCCUACGGGAGGCAGCAGUAGGGAAUCUUCCGCAAUGGGCGAAAGCCUGACGGAGCAACGCCGCGUGAGUGAUGAAGGUCUUCGGAUCGUAAAACUCUGUUAUUAGGGAAGAACAUAUGUGUAAGUAACUGUGCACAUCUUGACGGUACCUAAUCAGAAAGCCACGGCUAACUACGUGCCAGCAGCCGCGGUAAUACGUAGGUGGCAAGCGUUAUCCGGAAUUAUUGGGCGUAAAGCGCGCGUAGGCGGUUUUUUAAGUCUGAUGUGAAAGCCCACGGCUCAACCGUGGAGGGUCAUUGGAAACUGGAAAACUUGAGUGCAGAAGAGGAAAGUGGAAUUCCAUGUGUAGCGGUGAAAUGCGCAGAGAUAUGGAGGAACACCAGUGGCGAAGGCGACUUUCUGGUCUGUAACUGACGCUGAUGUGCGAAAGCGUGGGGAUCAAACAGGAUUAGAUACCCUGGUAGUCCACGCCGUAAACGAUGAGUGCUA
rnacentral:rRNA from 1 species